rnacentral:rRNA from 1 species
UGGGGAAUUUUGGACAAUGGGGGAAACCCUGAUCCAGCCAUCCCGCGUGUGCGAUGAAGGCCUUCGGGUUGUAAAGCACUUUUGGCAGGAAAGAAACGUCAUGGGUUAAUACCCCGUGAAACUGACGGUACCUGCAGAAUAAGCACCGGCUAACUACGUGCCAGCAGCCGCGGUAAUACGUAGGGUGCAAGCGUUAAUCGGAAUUACUGGGCGUAAAGCGUGCGCAGGCGGUUCGGAAAGAAAGAUGUGAAAUCCCAGAGCUCAACUUUGGAACUGCAUUUUUAACUACCGGGCUAGAGUGUGUCAGAGGGAGGUGGAAUUCCGCGUGUAGCAGUGAAAUGCGUAGAUAUGAGGAGGAACACCGAUGGCGAAGGCAGCCUCCUGGGAUAACACUGACGCUAAUGCACGAAAGCGUGGGGAGCAAACAGG